UAGGGAAUUUUCCACAAUGGGCGAAAGCCUGAUGGAGCAACGCCGCGUGCAGGAGGAAGGUCUUCGGAUUGUAAACUGCUUUUAUCUGUGACGAUUUUGACGGUAGCAGAAGAAUAAGGAUCGGCUAACUCCGUGCCAGCAGCCGCGGUCAUACGGAGGAUCCAAGCGUUAUCCGGAAUUACUGGGCGUAAAGAGUUGCGUAGGUGGCAAGUUAAGUUUCUGUUUAAAUAUCAAGGCUCAACCUUGGGAAAGGCAGGAAAACUGGCUAGCUUGAGUAUAGUAGAGGUACCUGGAAUUGCUGGUGUAGGAGUGAAAUCCGUAGAUAUCAGCAGGAACACCGAUGGCGUAGGCAGGGUACUGGGCUAUUACUGACACUAAGGCACGAAAGCGUGGGGAGCGAACGGGAUUAGAUACCCCCGUAGUCC
rnacentral:rRNA from 1 species